rnacentral:lncRNA from 1 species
AAUAAUUCAUAUUUUGCAUGUUAAAUCAGCUUUCAGAAAUAUAUCUGCAACCUAACAAAUUGCUUAAUCUUCUCUUGUUUCCAUUUAGUAGAUAAUGAAAGAAUUAUUGCCAGUUUUUAAGCUCAAUAUUAAAAGGAAGGAUUCCACAUUUAAAAAAUGAAUUUGUGUUGUACAGAGAAGUAAAUAUAUUCAUGACUGAAAUGUAUAAUGAAGUAGACAGACAACAUGCUCCAGAAAAUGGAUCCACAAAGAAAGUGUUGAUGUAAGCAGCCAAUGGAGUGGAGCAAUAUGUGUAGGGCCAAAUACUGUUUUAAUAUAUAGGGUAAAGAACUAUAUUUGAGACAAACUGUAAUUUAUUUGUUAUUUGUUCUCCUAAACAAGACAUAGGCAUUUUAGAGGACCAGUGUGAGAUAUUGUUACAACUUGGAUGAUGUAAUUAAAUUUUGUAUGUCUCAUUUAUGGGCAUUGUGUGUUUCGGUUUUUGCGUCCGUUCGUCUGUCCAUUCGUUUGUUCGUACGUCUGUCCCGCAUCAGGUUACAGGUUCAGAUCAAGGUUGGUUUGGCGGAAUUUGAAGUUCAUUUAAUUUGAAACUUUGUUCACAUGUUCCCUGUGCCAUAGUCUUUCUAAUUGUUAUGCCAAUUUAGAAUUCCCACCCUUAUUUCGCGGUCCACUGAACAUAGAAAAUGAUAGUGUGAUAAGAGCAUUCGUGCAUUAUGGAGACAUUUUUGUUCUAAUUUGUUCCACUUAAGACCAAAUUUCAAACUCAAACAAAACUUUCAAACUCAAACAAAACAUUCCUAACAUCUAACUCAACGGACGUCUCUUUGGUCGGGUUGUUUUCUCUUUGACAUAUUUCCCAUAUAUCUUUGAUUCAUUAUAUAAAUUGUUUUAAUAUUUAAAAGACUUUUUCCAUUUUCUUAGUAUUUUUUUCUUCAAAUGUUAAAGGGCCAUUAGCUGUCGAAUUCAUGUUCUCCGAUUUGACUGAAAUCUUUAUUAAUGAUUUUUCACAGACUAGAACGUAGAUCCAAAUUACAAAAAGUUUAAAAUAAAUAAUUUAUGCUACAUGAACUUGAUAAUAUGUAUCUGCAUUUCUUUGUUUUUUGGGUCUAGACACCUUCUAAUUGACCGUCGAGGUGACCUCCGAAGACUGACGACGGUCAUAUAACUUGAUAUCAACAUAAGUAUGGACAUUAUCAUACAUAGCCAUCACAUGAAAUUAGAUAUUUCUAGGUCUGAAUAAUUUCAUAUUAUAAGUUCAUACGAAAUGUUCAUUAGCGUUUUUACCUGUAUUAGAAAUAGAUUGUGUUUAUAUCUUGUAGCUAAUGCCCCUUUUACAUGUUUGAAACAUUGCUCAGGUAUUUUCUAUAAACUGAAUUGGCAAGGCAAUUUUUAUGAAUAUGUAUUUGAAGUUUAGUAUGACGUUCAUUUUUACUGAACUUGUACACAUUUCUGUUUACCGGCCAGCUGAUGCCAGCAUGAGGGAUCUUUUGAAGACCAAUUGGUGCCAUUCUCUGCUCUCUAGUCGGGUUGUUGUCUCUUUGACACAUGUCCAAUUUCCAUUCUCAAUUCUAUAUGAUAUAAAGUAUUUAAAUGUUUGUAACACGACGUGUGACACAUAGAAAGCAAGAUCUGCUCACCCUAAGAUCACCCCUAGUUUUUUUUUGGAGUUCGUAUUGCUAAGUUUUUAGUUUUUAGUUUUCUGUGUUAUGUCUUGUGUCAUUUUAUUUGUCUGUUUACCAUUUUAUUGU